UGUAUAGAGAAAGAUUGAGGUUAUCAAGAGUGGACUCGCAUAACCGUGACAUCGUAGAAGUUAGACGAGAAUGCAUUUUAAGAGCAGAGGUGUCCAAACAUAGUCUAUUUCGUGUGGUAAAUUCGUUAGUGGCUUUAGUUUGAAUGGGUUUCGCGUUGCGCGACGUCGACCGUCUUCCGCUCGGAUUGUUAUUUCCCUUGGCCAUGAUCGGACGCCGAUCACACCUAUUUACGAGUGGAGAAUACGUGCGAAAAGAACUUUGCAGGUCGCAUCCCAAAAAUUGUCAGCAAAUCACCAACUUCGUGCACCGGGAACCCACGAGAGGAAAUAUGGCUGCCCCAAAGACCGCCACCAGGGCGCCUAGGUUUCCCCCGACUAUUGCGCUGCUCUCGCACUUGCCCACGUGACACGAAACGAAACUUCUGGCAAAUCCUUCCAUUUGAAGUUUCAAAGUUGGAAGACCUUGAACACAAACGUUUUAUGCAAUGGGAAUUUUCUGUCUACUGAUCUGAAAUACCGACAUCGUAAAAAAAUGCUGUAAUACACUAGCGGACUCUAUCCGAAUGUGUGGGAAAGUUUGAUCAAAUGCAUCGGUCAGUUAAUGAACUACAUGAAACUGCAACAGAAAUAAUAUAUAUCCAAGACUAGUUUAUACAGUAGCGUUAGCUCUAAUAAAUAUGAUAUUGUCAUUUCUGGAGAAUUAAGUUCAUACAAAAAUGAUCGAAACUAUUAUAUUUUUAUUAUAUAUAUCGCUUAACGAAUUGAAACGAAUCAGAUAG